UUACGGCCACAUCACGUGGAAACACUGAUUCUCUUACGAUCACCGAAGUUAAGCAAAGCUGAACCUGGUCGAGUACCUAGAUGGGUGACCGUCUGGAAUAUCAGGUGCUGAAA